rnacentral:sRNA from 1 species
GAAAACCAUACUACAAGAAUGAAUGCAAAGAAAAGAAAAGAAAAGGAUUUGCUGAAGCAGAUCCCGUCUAUCCAUUGUUUGAAAAUAUGUAAACACUGAAGAGAAAAAUGAAGAUUUAAUGCCUCUGCGCGUAGACGUCUAUCCCCGAUUUCUAUCUAUUCUCAAACGUCGGGUCAACUUUUUGAUGGCGAGAAUCAAAGAAUAAAAAGAACAUGAAAAGGAAGGUGUAUGGGAUGUUAAGAAGAUGGAGGGAAGAGUUGUGACUUAAAGAAAAAAGAAAAAAAAACGGACUGCUAUCCACCGAAACAAGUCAUGCAAUAAUAGAAUGAUAAAGGAAAGAAGGAAAUCCCAUAACAUAUCGAAAGGUGAGGGGGGAAAUAAGUAAUAUGGGACAAAUACCAGAAAGCCAUAGAGAAAAGAGAGAGAGAAACCACCCCUGAAGAGAAAAUAUAACGAAGAUAAAAGAUGAAAAAAGCUUAACAACACAAGACGGACAGAUAAAGGUCAAAGCAAAAGAAACAAGCGAAGUGAUUAAAAAUAAUAAAUGACCAAUUAAGGGUAAAACAAAAUAAACCAAACCAAACCAAACCAAAAGUCGAGCGAUGCACAAUAAUUAUAUCAAAUUAAACACAAUAACCACACGGCAUACCGAAAGAGCAACGUGGAAGGGGGAG